rnacentral:rRNA from 1 species
GUCAUAUGCUUGUCUCAAAGAUUAAGCCAUGCAUGUCUCAGUACAAGCCAAAUUAAGGUGAAACCGCGAAAGGCUCAUUAAAUCAGUUAUGGUUCCUUAGAUCGUACCCACAAUUACUUGGAUAACUGUGGUAAUUCUAGAGCUAAUACAUGCAAACAGAGCUCCGACCGGAGACGGAAGGAGUGCUUUUAUUAGAUCAAAACCAAUCGGUGUCGGGUUCGCUCGAUAUCGUACAACUUGGUGACUCUGAAUAACUUUACGCUGAUCGCACGGUCAUCGCACCGGCGACGCAUCUUUCAAAUGUCUGCCUUAUCAACUGUCGAUGGUAGGUUCUGCGCCUACCAUGGUUGUAACGGGUAACGGGGAAUCAGGGUUCGAUUCCGGAGAGGGAGCCUGAGAAACGGCUACCACAUCCAAGGAAGGCAGCAGGCGCGCAAAUUACCCACUCCCGGCACGGGGAGGUAGUGACGAAAAAUAACGAUACGGGACUCAUCCGAGGCCCCGUAAUCGGAAUGAGUACACUCUAAACCCUUUAACGAGGAUCAAUUGGAGGGCAAGUCUGGUGCCAGCAGCCGCGGUAAUUCCAGCUCCAAUAGCGUAUAUUAAAGUUGUUGCGGUUAAAAAGCUCGUAGUCGAAUUUGUGUCUCGCGCCGCCGGUUCAUCGUCCGCGGUGUUAACUGGCGAGUCGCGAGACGUCCUGCCGGUGGGCUUAGCUCGCGAGGGCGGCCCAACUCAAUCCUGCCGCGGUGCUCUUCAUUGAGUGUCGAGGUGGGCCGGCACGUUUACUUUGAACAAAUUAGAGUGCUUAAAGCAGGCUAAAACUUCGCCUGAAUACUGUGUGCAUGGAAUAAUGGAAUAGGACCUCGGUUCUAUUUUGUUGGUUUUCGGAACCCCGAGGUAAUGAUUAAUAGGAACGGAUGGGGGCAUUCGUAUUGCGACGUUAGAGGUGAAAUUCUUGGAUCGUCGC